UCUCCUCCUCCUUCUCCUCCUCGUCCUCAGAUCUGUUCCCCGGUCGCUGUGUGAUGUAGGGCCCAAAGAAUGGGGAAACACCUUCCAAGGAGAAAACACAUGCACUUUGACAACCCACACACACACUCGCAGAGUUCCUCACAGAGCAGUGAAUAGUGAGAGGUCAGCAUAUGCUGCAUGAGAACUUGGACUUGGAGUUGGAUUUCUUUAAAUUGAAGAAAAAGAAGAACAAGAAAAAGGACAUCAACCCAGAGACACAACACUAAAGACACAAAUUAACCAGACAGGAUUCAGAUGUCACCUGACUAGUGGAUCAUGGGAUGAGCUCUUGACCUACUGUGGCCAGAGAAGGAGCUUCCUGUUUACGGCCAGCUGUGCAUCACCGCAUCCUGACUCAGGACACUGACCAGAUCCUGGCCUCUGGCCUCUAACCCUGGAGGCCCUGGGGGGUGGGGGGGGUUGAAGAUGAGGUAUACCACCCUCUUGGCCCUGCUGAUUGGGGUCAUGCUGUACUUGGUGAUGGGAGCACUUGUCUUCCGCACCCUUGAGGCUCCCAAGGAGAUCACAGCAUACCAAGACUUGGUUAAAACCAAGGAGAAGUUCCUGGAUAAUAAGUCAUGUCUGACUGAGCAGGACCUUCAAAAACUGGUGAAGGGCAUGAUGUCAGCAGUAGAUGCUGGACUGGAUGUGAGCAGUCUCUCUUCAAACUUCACUAGCCGUUGGGAUUGGGCCUCUUCCAUUUUCUUCUGUGGAACUA